UGGCACUUUUGCGCUGCUCCAGAGUGAUUUCAACACAAACAGUGUGCAAGGUAUUUUCUUGGAAGUGCCUGCCAUUUUCCACACAGUCUCCAGUGACGGCUUCUUAGAUGGUUCUGUGUUACAAACCAUCUAUCAGUGGUUUAAUGGAACCUGACUGAAGUUAUUGACUGUUUAUCUUGAUGCAGCCAACUUCUAAUAUACAGUGGUGGAUGGUCACCAGAGGAUUGUAAAGCCUGCAGGAACA